rnacentral:rRNA from 1 species
AAUACAUGCAAGUCGAACGAGCAAUACCAGUGGCGCACGGGUGCGUAACGCGUAUGCAACCUACCUUAAACUGGGGGAUAGCCUUCCGAAAGGGAGAUUAAUACCGCAUAAAAUCACUUGAUGGCAUCUGAAGGUGAUUAAAGAUUUAUUGGCUUAAGAUGGGCAUGCGUGCCAUUAGCUAGUUGGUAGUGUAACGGACUACCAAGGCGACGAUGGCUAGGGGUUCUGAGAGGAUGAUCCCCCACACUGGUACUGAGAUACGGACCAGACUCCUACGGGAGGCAGCAGUAGGGAAUAUUGGGCAAUGGACGGAAGUCUGACCCAGCCAUGCCGCGUGCAGGAAGAAGGCCUUCUGGGUUGUAAACUGCUUUUAUCUAGGAAGAAAACACCCAUGCGUGGGAAACUGACGGUACUAGAUGAAUAAG